UUGCUGACGAGUGGCGCACGGGUGCGUAACGCGUAUACAAUCUACCUUUUGCUGAGGGAUAGCCCAGAGAAAUUUGGAUUAACACCUCAUGGUAUUAUUGAUAGGCAUCUAUUAAUAAUUAAAGGUUACGGCAAAAGAUGAGUAUGCGUCCCAUUAGCUAGUUGGCGAGGUAACGGCUCACCAAGGCAACGAUGGGUAGGGGUCCUGAGAGGGAGAUCCCCCACACUGGUACUGAGACACGGACCAGACUCCUACGGGAGGCAGCAGUGAGGAAUAUUGGACAAUGGGCGAGAGCCUGAUCCAGCCAUGCCGCGUGCAGGAAGACUGCCCUAUGGGUUGUAAACUGCUUUUAUACAGGAAGAAUAAGCCUUACGUGUAAGGUGAUGACGGUACUGUAAGAAUAAGGACCGGCUAACUCCGUGCCAGCAGCCGCGGUAAUACGGAGGGUCCGAGCGUUAUCCGGAAUUAUUGGGUUUAAAGGGUCCGUAGGCGGAUGAUUAAGU
rnacentral:rRNA from 1 species